rnacentral:rRNA from 1 species
AUGGCGCCUACGGCAACGACGACGACGACGGCGGCGGAGCAGCAGCAGCACCCGAGGAAGGCGGUGGGGCUCGCGGCGCACGACGCAUCCGGCCACCUCUCGCCCAUCCGCAUCCCCCGAAGGAGCACUGGUGACGACGACGUGGCCAUAAAGGUGCUCUACUGCGGCAUCUGCCACUCCGACCUGCACACCAUCAAGAACGACUGGAGGAACGCCAUCUACCCCGUCGUCCCCGGGCACGAGAUUGCCGGGGUGGUGACGGAGGUCGGCAAGAACGUGGCGGGGUUCGCGGCCGGCGACAGGGUGGGCGUGGGCUGCAUGGUGAACACCUGCCGGGCCUGCGAGAGCUGCGAGGAGGGCGCCGAGAACUACUGCGCCAGGGUCGUCCUCACCUACAACUCCCGCGACAGGGACGGCGCCGUCACCCGCGGCGGCUACUCCGACCUGGUCGUCGCCGACGCGCGCUUCGUCGUCCGCUUCCCCGACGCCCUGCCGCUCGACGUCGCCGCGCCGCUGCUCUGCGCGGGCGCCACCGUGUACGCCCCCAUGCGGCGCCACGGGCUGGGCGCGCCCGGCAGCCACGUGGGCGUGAUCGGCCUCGGCGGGCUCGGGCACGUCGCCGUCAAGUUCGCCAGGGCGUUCGGGGCGGCGAAGGUGACGGUGAUCAGCACGUCGCCCGGGAAGCGGGAGGAGGCGCUGGAGCGGCUGGGCGCGGACGCGUUCGUCCUCAGCACCGACGCGGCGGAGAUGAAGGCCGCCGCGGGCACCAUGCACGGCAUCGUCAACACGGCGUCCGCCGCCGCGUCCCUGCACCCGUACCUGGCGCUCCUCAAACCCCACGGCAAGAUGAUCCUGCUCGGCAUCCCCGAUAAGCCCCUGCAAGUCUCCGCAUUCGCUCUCAUCGGCGGCGGCAAGACUCUUGCCGGGAGCUGCAUGGCGAGCAUCAGCGAGACGCAGGAGAUGCUAGACUUCGCCGCCGAGCAUGGCGUGGCGGCGGACGUCGAGGUGAUCGGCGCCGGGGAGGUGAACGCGGCCAUGGAGCGCCUGGCCAAGGGCGACGUCAGGUACCGCUUCGUCAUCGACGUCGGCAACACCCUCAAGGCGGAUUGA